GCGGGCUGCCUAAUACAUGCAAGUCGAGCGGAUCGAUGGGAGCUUGCUCCCUGAGAUCAGCGGCGGACGGGUGAGUAACACGUGGGUAACCUGCCUGUAAGACUGGGAUAACUCCGGGAAACCGGGGCUAAUACCGGAUAACACCUACCCCCGCAUGGGGGAAGGUUGAAAGGUGGCUUCGGCUAUCACUUACAGAUGGACCCGCGUCGCAUUACCUACUUGGUGAGGUAAUGGCUCACCAA
rnacentral:rRNA from 1 species